rnacentral:rRNA from 1 species
GACGUAGGGCGCGAGCGUUGUCCGGAUUUAUUGGGCGUAAAGAGCUCGUAGGCGGCUUGUCGCGUCGAAUGUGAAAACUCGGGGCUCAACUCCGAGCUUGCAUUCGAUACGGGCAGGCUAGAGUUCGGUAGGGGAGACUGGAAUUCCCGGUGUAGCGGUGAAAUGCGCAGAUAUCGGGAGGAACACCAAUGGCGAAGGCAGCUCGCUGGGACGGUACUGACGCUGAGGCGCGAAAGCGUGGGGAGCAAACAGG